GCUAAUGACAGAGGAUUCGUCCAAUGGAUUUAGUUUCUUAGUGGCGGACGGGUGAGUAACGCGUGAGGAACCUGCCUCGGAGUGGGGAAUAACACAACGAAAGCUGUGCUAAUACCGCAUGAUGCAGCUGGGUCGCAUGACUCUGGCUGCCAAAGAUUUAUCGCUCUGAGAUGGACCCGCGUCUGAUUAGCUAGUUGGUGGGGUAACGGCCUACCAAGGCGACGAUCAGUAGCCGACCUGAGAGGGUGACCGGCCACAUUGGGACUGAGACACGGCCCAAACUCCUACGGGAGGCAGCAGUGGGGGAUAUUGCACAAUGGGGGAAACCCUGAUGCAGCGACGCCGCGUGAGUGAAGAAGUAUUUCGGUAUGUAAAGCUCUAUCAGCAGGGAAGAGAAUGACGGUACCUGAGUAAGAAGCCCCGG
rnacentral:rRNA from 1 species